rnacentral:rRNA from 1 species
AGCGAACGCUGGCGGCAGGCUUAACACAUGCAAGUCGAGCGGGCAUCCUUGUGGUGUCAGCGGCAGACGGGUGAGUAACGUGUGGGAACGUGCCCUUAGGUUCGGAAUAACCCAGGGAAACUCGAGCUAAUACCGGAUACUUGCGAGAGCAGACACGUUUAUCUGCCGAAGGAUCGGCGCGCGUCUGCUUAGCUAGUUGGUGAGGUUACGGCUCACCUAGGUGAGGAGCAGUAGCUGGUCGGAGAGGAGGACCAGCCACACUGGAACUAAGACACAGCCCAGACCCCGAGGCAGCGGAGCAGAGGAGAGUAUUAGGGGAUGGAGGCAAACGCAGCGCAGCCGUGCCGGGUGUGUGGUGACGGCGUUAGGGAUGUAAAGCCCGUAGCGCCGGGACGAAAAUGACGGUACCUGAAGAAGAAGCCCCGGCUAACUUCGUG